AUUGAACGCUGGCGGCAGGCUUAACACAUGCAAGUCGAGCGGGGAAAGGUAGCUUGCUACCUGACCUAGCGGCGGACGGGUGAGUAAUGCUUAGGAAUCUGCCUAUUAGUGGGGGACAACAUCUCGAAAGGGAUGCUAAUACCGCAUACGUCCUACGGGAGAAAGCAGGGGACCUUCGGGCCUUGCGCUAAUAGAUGAGCCUAAGUCGGAUUAGCUAGUUGGUGGGGUAAAGGCCUACCAAGGCGACGAUCUGUAGCGGGUCUGAGAGGAUGAUCCGCCACACUGGGACUGAGACACGGCCCAGACUCCUACGGGAGGCAGCAGUGGGGAAUAUUGGACAAUGGGGGGAACCCUGGGCCAGCCAUGCCGCGUGUGUGAAGAAGGCCUUUUGGUUGUAAAGCACGUUAAGCGAGGAGGAGGCUACCGAGAUUAAUACUCUUGGAUAGUGGACGUUACUCGCAGAAUAAGCACCGGCUAACUCUGUG
rnacentral:rRNA from 1 species